UACGAAGGGGGCUAGCGUUGCUCGGAAUUACUGGGUGUAAAGCGCACGUAGGCGGGUUCUUAAGUCGGUGGUGAAAUCCUGGAGCUCAACUCCAGAACUGCCUUCGAUACUGGGAAUCUUGAGUCCGGGAGAGGUGAGUGGAACUGCGAGUGUAGAGGUGAAAUUCGUAGAUAUUCGCAAGAACACCAGUGGCGAAGGCGGCUCACUGGCCCGGUACUGACGCUGAGGUGCGAAAGCGUGGGGAGCAAACAGG
rnacentral:rRNA from 1 species